rnacentral:rRNA from 1 species
UACGAAGGGAGCUAGCGUUGUUCGGAAUCACUGGGCGUAAAGCGCACGUAGGCGGACGUGUCAGUCAGGGGUGAAAUCCCGGAGCUCAACUUCGGAACUGCCUUUGAUACAGCACGUCUUGAGUCCGGAAGAGGUGGGUGGAAUUCCUAGUGUAGAGGUGAAAUUCGUAGAUAUCGUAAGGAAGACCAGUGGCGAAGGCGGGUCUCUGGACAGUUCCUGACGCUGAGGCACGAAGGCCAGGGGAGCAAACGGG